UACAGAGGUCUCAAGCGUUGUUCGGAUUCAUUGGGCGUAAAGAGCGCGCAGGCGGUCGUGCAAGUCGCGUGUGAAAGCCCCCGGCUCAACUGGGGAGGGUCACGCGAUACUGCUCGACUUGAAGGCAGGAGAGGGAAGUGGAAUUCCCGGUGUAGUGGUGAAAUGCGUAGAUAUCGGGAGGAACACCAGUGGCGAAGGCGACUUCCUGGCCUGUUCUUGACGCUGAGGCGCGAAAGCUAGGGUAGCAAACGGG
rnacentral:rRNA from 1 species